rnacentral:misc_RNA from 1 species
GACGACGAGGACGAGGGACGUAAGUGAGUCAGGGAUAACGUCGUUGCAGUACGUCGUGCGGUGCUGCAUCAUCGCUUAGGAAUGGUAUCGCCGUCCAAGCACCAAUAUCAGCAGCAGCAGCAGCAACAACAGCAACUCAGGCAACCGUCGAGAGAAAACAAGUUUGAUCCACGACGAAAGCCAGAAGACUGAGAUGCCUUCCAAAUUUGUCUUAGCUUGGACGCUAUGUGCAAAUUAAUGGAAUCUUUGCCGAUGCCGAAGCCAGUACUCUGAGCGAUCACCAGUGUUUCCUUCGCUGUAUGGUGCAAAUAGUAAUGAUGAUUCAUUUUAUAUAUCCCGUCUUAUAGUACGUUCUCUGGAUGUGAGUAACAAGACUGUUAUUAUCGCUUGAUUAGAGGCUGCACCAAUUCGUCUGUAUCAUGUGAUUUGUACAGCGGUUGGUACGAAUGUAAGACAGCAACUAAAAUACUAUAAGUGGACGCUUCUUAUAACAUAUUUCUCGGAAAAAAAAGUCCGUGGAAAAUAUUAAUGCUCUACACGCUCAGUUGAUUCAUUUGGGAUUGACAAUAAAUCGAAAA